GUCUAAGUAUAAGCACUCGUACUGUGAAACUGCGAAUGGCUCAUUAAAUCAGUUAUCGUUUAUUUGAUUGUACCUUUACUACUUGGAUAACCGUGGUAAUUCUAGAGCUAAUACAUGCGAAAAGUCCCGACUUCUGGAAGGGAUGUAUUUAUUAGAUUCAAAACCAAUGCGGGUUCUGCCCGGUCGUUUGGUGAUUCAUAGUAACUGUUCGAAUCGCAGGGCCUCGCGCCGGCGAUGUUUCAUUCAAAUUUCUGCCCUAUCAACUGUCGAUGGUAAGGUAUUGGCUUACCAUGGUUACAACGGNNNNNNN
rnacentral:rRNA from 1 species